UACGGGGGGAGCAAGCGUUGUUCGGAUUUACUGGGCGUAAAGGGUGCGUAGGCGGUUCGUUAAGUCUGUCGUGAAAUCCCCGGGCUCAACCUGGGAAUGGCGAUGGAUACUGGCGAGCUAGAGUGUGUCAGAGGAUGGAGGAAUUCCCGGUGUAGCGGUGAAAUGCGUAGAGAUCGGGAGGAACAUCAGUGGCGAAGGCGGCCAUCUGGGACAACACUGACGCUGAAGCACGAAAGCGUGGGGAGCAAACAGG
rnacentral:rRNA from 1 species